GACGAACGCUGGCGGCGUGCUUAACACAUGCAAGUCGAACGGAAAGGCCCUGCUUUUGUGGGGUGCUCGAGUGGCGAACGGGUGAGUAACACGUGAGUAACCUGCCCUUGACUUUGGGAUAACUUCAGGAAACUGGGGCUAAUACCGGAUAGGAGCUCCUGCUGCAUGGUGGGGGUUGGAAAGUUUCGGCGGUUGGGGAUGGACUCGCGGCUUAUCAGCUUGUUGGUGGGGUAGUGGCUUACCAAGGCUUUGACGGGUAGCCGGCCUGAGAGGGUGACCGGCCACAUUGGGACUGAGAUACGGCCCAGACUCCUACGGGAGGCAGCAGUGGGGAAUAUUGCACAAUGGGCGGAAGCCUGAUGCAGCAACGCCGCGUGCGGGAUGACGGCCUUCGGGUUGUAAACCGCUUUCGCCUGUGACGAAGCGUGAGUGACGGUAAUGGGUAAAGAAGCACCGGCUAACUACGUGCCGGCAGCCGCGGUGAUACGUAGGGUGCGAGCGUUGUCCGGAUUUAUUGGGCGUAAAGGGCUCGUAGGUGGUUGAUCGCGUCGGAAGUGUAAUCUUGGGGCUUAACCCUGAGCGUGCUUUCGAUACGGGUUGACUUGAGGAAGGUAGGGGAGAAUGGAAUUCCUGGUGGAGCGGUGGAAUGCGCAGAUAUCAGGAGGAACACCAGUGGCGAAGGCGGUUCUCUGGGCCUUUCCUGACGCUGAGGAGCGAAAGCGUGGGGAGCGAACAGGCUUAGAUACCCUGGUAGCCCACGCUGUAAACGGUGGGUACUAGGUGUGGGGUCCAUUCCACGGGUUCCGUGCCGUAGCUAACGCUUUAAGUACCCCGCCUGGGGAGUACGGCCGCAAGGCUAAAACUCAAAGGAAUUGACGGGGCCCCGCACAAGCGGCGGAGCAUGCGGAUUAAUUCGAUGCAACGCGUAGAACCUUACCUGGGUUUGACAUGGAUCGGGAGUGCUCAGAGAUGGGUGUGCCUCUUUUGGGGUCGGUUCACAGGUGGUGCAUGGCUGUCGUCAGCUCGUGUCGUGAGAUGUUGGGUUAAGUCCCGCAACGAGCGCAACCCUUGUUCACUGUUGCCAGCACGUUAUGGUGGGGACUCAGUGGAGACCGCCGGGGUCAACUCGGAGGAAGGUGGGGAUGACGUCAAGUCAUCAUGCCCCUUAUGUCCAGGGCUUCACGCAUGCUACAAUGGCUGGUACAGAGAGUGGCGAGCCUGUGAGGGUGAGCGAAUCUCGGAAAGCCGGUCUCAGUUCGGAUUGGGGUCUGCAACUCGACCUCAUGAAGUCGGAGUCGCUAGUAAUCGCAGAUCAGCAACGCUGCGGUGAAUACGUUCCCGGG
rnacentral:rRNA from 1 species